rnacentral:rRNA from 1 species
UGGGGAAUAUUGGACAAUGGGCGCAAGCCUGAUCCAGCCAUGCCGCGUGAGUGAUGAAGGCCCUAGGGUUGUAAAGCUCUUUCACCGGUGAAGAUAAUGACGGUAACCGGAAAAGAAGCCCCGGCUAACUUCGUGCCAGCAGCCGCGGUAAUACGAAGGGGGCUAGCGUUGUUCGGAUUUACUGGGCGUAAAGCGCACGUAGGCGGACUAUUAAGUCAGGGGUGAAAUCCCGGGGCUCAACCCCGGAACUGCCUUUGAUACUGGUAGUCUUGAGUUCGAGAGAGGUGAGUGGAAUUCCAAGUGUAGAGGUGAAAUUCGUAGAUAUUCGGAGGAACACCAGUGGCGAAGGCGGCUCACUGGCUCGAUACUGACGCUGAGGUGCGAAAGCGUGGGGAGCAAACAGG